AUACACUACAGUAUCUUACAAAAAAUUGCCAAAGCAGAAGCUAUAUCUUUCUUGUUCUUUAAUUGUACAAAAGAACCUACCAGAUUAGCCAUUUACAAGCCUAUUCUGUAAAAAUAACUGAUUCUACUCGUUCAUUGGCAAACGUCUUUUCAGUCAUCUGGUCGUCAACUCUGCUCUGUUCUCUUCUUUUACCAAAACAUAUCAAUAUCUACAAGUAACACAUCUUAUGGACAUAACUUUUCUUUCAAAAAAGAAUUCUUUUGAAGCUCUCAUGUGUUCAAGGUGAGAAGGAACUUGCAUCAGUGCUGUAAAAUGAGUACUCACUCAAACUGAAGUUUAACCGCUCUUCGUCCCACUUGAUUAUCUCCCUUGCAUACUUGAGCGAUUCAUCCACCGUUUUUGGCUCUAAACCUUUCACUAGAGAAACAUACAGCUUCUUGUUAGUGAGAGAAGAAAAGAGCCUCUUGAAUUUUACUGCAACGUGAUGAAAUGCCAACUGGCCCACAGAGGGACUAUGGUUGAUGCUGCUGG
rnacentral:misc_RNA from 1 species